rnacentral:rRNA from 1 species
CCUACGGGUGGCUGCAGUGAGGAAUAUUGGUCAAUGGACGAGAGUCUGAACCAGCCAAGUAGCGUGAAGGAUGACUGCCCUAUGGGUUGUAAACUUCUUUUAUAUGGGAAUAAAACAGGGUAUGCAUACCCUCUUGUAUGUACCAUAUGAAUAAGGAUCGGCUAACUCCGUGCCAGCAGCCGCGGUAAUACGGAGGAUCCGAGCGUUAUCCGGAUUUAUUGGGUUUAAAGGGAGCGUAGGUGGGUUGUUAAGUAAGGUGUGAAAGUUUGGGGCUCAACCGUAAAAUUGCAGUUGAAACUGGCAGUCUUGAGUACAGUAGAGGUGGGCGGAAUGCGUGGUGUAGCGGUGAAAUGCUUAGAUAUCACGAAGAACUCCGAUUGCGAAGGCAGCUCACUGGACUGCAACUGACGCUGAGGCACGAAAGCGUGGGUAUCGAACAGGAUUAGAUACCCUGGUAGUC